CCCUCGGGGGGGGGGUCCCUUCUGCGAUUCCUCCUCCGCCACCCGCCUCGCCGACAAUUCCCACACAGGCCUAAACACACGUGCUCAGUUCCUCCUCUUCUCCCGCCCCGCCUCAGCCUUCAUUGGCGGCCUCCAAGCGGGGCUGGCUCAGGCGGCGGGCGGUUGGUUGCUGCUCCUCCGCCCGAGACCCGGCGCGGCGGUUCCCGGGUGCGCUUGCCGCGAGGAGCCGAGGCUGAGGCGACGGAGUCCAGGUCCCUCCAGUCCCGUUUCUCGCGCAGCGCUGGAGGAAGAGGCGGCCUGAGAGCGCCGGGGAGGCGUUGCCCGGCGAGGCCGGGAGUUCGCCCCCUGCCCGGGCUGCAGAACAACAAGCGAGGAGGAGGCCGCCCCCGAGCAACUCCUGGGCGAGCGCUGGGGACGCCGCCGCGUCGCUUUCCCGCCACCAGGGUGGCCGCUUGGGUAGCGCGGGAGGGCGAGCGCGAGGCGCCUCAGCAGCAAGUGGCGCCGCCGCCGCCCCGCGCAGACCUCGCAGGAGGCGGGAAGCGCAGCCGCGAGGAGGCAGCGCUCGGCGGCGGCUCCCCCUGCCCCGGCCGGCCGCCAUGGCUGCCGCGGCGAGGCGACGGCGAGGGACUCGAAGCGGUGGCUGCUGCCGCCGCCUCCUCUGGAGGAGUCCGAAACAAGCGCCCCAGUCGAGAAGAGGAUGUAGACUUAAAAGUGAGCCAGGAACGUUUGGAACACUGUUGCGUUAUAGAAGAUGAAGACUCAGAAUCUCAAGAGGAGGAAGAGGGUAAAAGCGACCAAGUGGAUUGGAAAGAGAAGCUGAGUCCAGUUACCAGCUCUUCGGUGAGAGUCAUAAAAGUUGUAUUGGGCCAUAUACGGUUAAGAAUAGACCCAUUGAAAUCAAGAGUCUUUUGGUAGUCUUGCCCAUUAAGGUCAAUGGUUUUAUACUGAGUAUGACUCACAUUGAAUUCAGUCCAUUGCCCGGGAUCCUAAGUUGCUCAUCCAUUCAUGUAUGAUGGCGGAGAUUCUCACCAAGUCCCCUGUCUCAUAUCCCACACCAUAUCCCAAGGGUCCUCAAGCUCCCUGGGGUAGAUUUUCAGGGGGCUGUAGAAAGAAGGGGGAGGAAGGAAAGUCUCUUUCCAUAAACAAGACUUCUGUUCCAUUCACAGAAGGAAAAUUAGAUCCCCAGCCAUCAAUAUUAGUGUUUUUGAAAACUGAUUCAAAUAUUGAUUUAUUCAUGGCAAGUCUUUAUGAACAUUUUUGAAAUGUAUAUAUUCGCAAAUAUAAUUGUGGGAAUAGCCUGUCAUGUCUUAAAAGAUAUCGUUAACUUCUUGCUGCACCAGUUACAUGGUUAUUAUUUUCCCCAACCCCAAAGUUGUGGUCCGCUCUUUUCUCUUUAACAUCUCUGAAUUAUUUUUUUUUAAGUUGAUGUGGUUUUGCUUUAAAUCAUAAAACAGCUCUAGUAUCAAAAGACUCCAGUUCUGACCAUUAUAAACAAUGAAUUUAUGAAAGCAUGUUCAGAUAACUGCUGUUUACUAAAAAGUUUUACAAUGUGGCAUUUAAAAAAAAAAAAAAACCAUGGAAGUGGUGGCAGCUUGUAAUUAUCAAACUAUUAGGGCAAGUAUUACCACUUCCUCUGUAGCUGCAUGAAAAUCUAAUGGUCAGCAAGGUUUACCUCGCCUGGGCUGGUUCACUCCAGCGGAGAUCCCUCUGUGGACUGGAUUGCAGAUGCGCGUGAGUGUGCUCCCCCGCGAUUUCCAGCGUCUGCACAGAUGCGGAUUUCUGGCGCCGCAGAAGUGAGUCCGCACGCCACGCUGGUUUAGCACAUUGCGCGGGGGCUCACCAAGCGGGUGGCUCAUGGGCCGAUUAAAUGACCCCCGUGGGCAGCAUGUGGCCCAUGAGUCUUAGGUUGCCGAACCCUGUGCUAGAUGGAAGACAGCAGCCCAGUUCUGGGGUCCUGUUGUAAGCUUUUAAUUGGCUGUCACGUGAACUCCUGGUUGUCUGAAUCCACUCUCUGUAUGCAGCGAACAACAUCUCAGAAUGUGCUAUCCUAUAGUGCUUCUUCACAGAUGUACUGCUGGCCAGUUAACUUGGUAUGAAGAUAGCAUGCUUUGUUGUUUACAAAUGUUACUGUCACUCAGCGACAUGCAUAUUUACUUAAUACAUUUUAUAUACCACCUGUCAGCCAGUUGGUUCCUAGGGCAGUUGAGAACAGGAUAAAGGGGUUGCCGGCCUCUUUGAGGCCCCUGGGCACAUUUAGAAUUUUGAGUUUUGCAGCUGUAUACAUCUCCUGUGGCUUGAAGUGGUGUCUUUUUCCUGAUCCCUCUUACAAUCCUAAUUACAACUUUCCAUUAACAAUGGAUAAAUGUCUAUUAAUUGUGGGGGUUUUUUGGGGGGUGUGGGGUUUACAACAGGCUUACAGAAGCACUACUGGUUCUGCUUUCCCACUGGAAGGUUAUUUUCCACUGCCAGCAUCACUGACUGAAAAUACAUUGGAAGUAAGUGUUGCAAUUUGCACAUAAGCUUGUAAAUUAUCUCAAAGUUGGAAGCAUGCUUCUGCAAUAACCCAGUUAAAGCAACUCUUUCAGAUCCUGAUCUUGUCAGAAAUGCUGCAACUGAACUGCACCAUUUUUCCUUUUACUAUUUACUUCCAAAACGUGUGAUUUGCCGAAGUAGAAUCUGAAGAAUUGUUUUAAAACCAUUUCCCCCGAUUUCUACAGCUCCAUUCUAGGUGUCAUGACAGAAGACUCUGAUUACACCAUGGAAGCUAAAGUAGUAAGCUGAACCUGUAGUGAAUGAAGUGUAGCAAGUGAUUAGGGGUGCAUUCAUUUUUCCUCAAUUUGACUAAAGGGUUCCACGUGGCACACCUUUCCAAGGGAGCAUGCCAGUGGUAGGUGGAACAAAUGUGACACUUCUGCUUUCAGCUGUUGACUACAUUUCAGUCAGGCAAGAUCACUCAAGAGCAGGGUUAAGACAGGGUGUGUGACCAGGUGAGAGUCAUGAGGGUCAAAUGGAAAAGCCCUGGAGGGCCUCAAUUUGCCCCAGGCCCUGAGGUUCCUCAGCCCUGAUUUAGAAAAUACCUGUGGUGCCCUACAAGGCUCAUCAUAAUCACCUGUGUUGUUAAUCUUAUGUGUGGAAUUGUUAAAAUGAUAACUCUCCUGCCUUUAGACAGCACAUUCAACAACAUGCUGCCCUCCAAGUCUGUAUUUUAUUAACAUAAGCACCCAGCAGAAGCUGUAUCUAUUCUAAACCAAAGUUUGGAUAGUAGGGGAAGGUGUGUAGAUAUUUCUAAAUAUAUGCAAGUAUGUGAGGAACUACCUAGCUAGGGCAAACAGCUGAAGAUGCUUUCAUUUAAUAUACCGGUAAUCAUAGAGGUGGAAGGGAUCCUGAGGGAUCAUCUAGUCUAACCCCCUGCAUUGAAGGAAUAUGCAGCUCUCCCUUAUGAGGAUUGAACCUGCAACCUUUGCAUUCUCAGCACCACACUCUAGCCAGGAUGGGCCCAAUGUUCAAGAUGUAAUUUUGAACCUUUUCAAGCUCUUCUUGCAUGCCUCAGUAUAUCUUUCCCUACAUUACCUCCACCCCAAUGUCUGUUGGAUAAGCUCAUAAGAAUUCUGCCUUUAAAAAUGGAGAAGACAAGGUGUGGGCUGUGAAACUCGUGCCUCUAUGUUGCAAGUUUUAGAAAAACAAUUCAAGCUGCUCCUGUUUCAGCAGAGGUGGGUAGUGGUGGUUUUCCAAUUUGUAUUGCAGUAGAUAGCAGACAGGGACGCGGGUGGCGCUGUGGGUAAAACCUCAGCGCCUAGGACUUGCCGAUCGUAUGGUCGGCAGUUCGAAUCCCCUCGGCGGGGUGAGCUCCCGUCGUUCGGUCCCAGCUCCUGCCAACCUAGCAGUUCGAAAGCACCUCUAAGUGCAAGUAGAUAAAUAGGGACCGCUUUAUAGCGGGAAGGUAAAUGGCGUUUCCGUGUGCGGCGCUGGUGCUGGCUCGCCAGAGCAGCUUCGUCACGCUGGCCACGUGACCCGGAAGUGUCUCCAGACAGCGCCGGCUCCCGGCCUCUUGAGCGAGAUGAGCGCGCAACCCUAGAGUCUGGCAAGACUGGCCCGUACGGACAGGGGUACCUUUACCUUUACCUUAGAUAGCAGACAAGCUACUGCAUCUUACUGGGUUCUUUUUGAUGUUUUCCUCAAUACUCUUUCAGGCUGCCAUUUUUAGUGAUCACACUCUUUCUGUAACAGCUGGUAUUUGCAGAAAGCAUUCUCUGUGUUUAAAGUAUUGUGGGGGAGGGGGAAAUAACACAUUUUAAAUUAUACAAAGGGCUGCUGUUGAACUGGCUAGAAACUAUUUAACCAUAGGGAGAGUUGCAAGGUUUCAAAAUAACAUAGAAAACAUAUUUUCAUUUUGCUCCUUCUUUUAGG
rnacentral:lncRNA from 1 species